AUUAUGGGAAAUGUAGUGUCCAUGACCUGAGUUGUAUUACUUCCUGUAUACACACAGGGCUGUCUGCACAACACAAAUUUCAAAUGAAACCAUGAGGAGAGGGGAGGACAUAUUUGAAUAGUAAACCAAUAGCUCAACUGGCAAUUCAACACUUACUGUGGGGGAUACAAAAAAAAUCACAGAUAAACAAAUCUUUAUUGGCAUAAGAUGAGUAAAGAUGGAAAGAAGCAGAAUCAGUGCUCCGAAUGCGAGAAGAGUUUUACUUAUAAGUCACAACUCGAUGUUCAUCUGAGGAUUCACACUGGAGAACGACCAUAUAAAUGUUCCAAAUGUGACAUGCGCUUCUCGCAAAGUACUAGUCUUACCAAGCACCUGAAGCUUCACACUGGAGAGAAACCAUUUAAAUGUACAGAAUGUGACAAAUGCUUCUCUCAGAGGUUUAAUCUUAUUGAACACCAGUAUACUCACACCGGAGAAAAGCUGUUUAACUGUCCCGAAUGCGGCAAGGGUUUCUCACACAGUUCACAUCUAACGAAGCACCAGAGGAUUCACACAGGAGAGAAGCCAUUUAAGUGUUUAGAAUGUGACAAAUGCUUUUCACAUAAGUUUAAUCUAGCUGAACACCAGAAGACUCACACAGGAGAAAAGCCGUUUAAAUGUUUAGAAUGUGGAAAGUGCUUCUCACACAGUUCUCAUCUUACAAAACACCAGAGGGUUCACACAGGAGAGAAGCCAUUCAUAUGUUCAGAAUGUGGCAGAUGCUUCUCUCAUAAGCAUAUUCUUCUUACUCACCAGAAGACUCAUGCCAGGUGAAGAAUGUGAGAAGGAUUUAUUUAUUUUUUGUUCUAGAAGUUAAAAAAAUUAAGCAACAAGAAGUUGGGGAGAAGCUGUAUUCAUCUGUGUGAUAAAUAUUUUACAUGUAAAUAAACACGGAUUAAGAUUAAAAAGCUUCACGCAGAAAAGAAACAAAGCCAUAUCAAAAAUUUAAAAAGUAACAAGUAUUUAAAAAAAAAAAAACGCUCUACCCGCACUCACCAGAAGGUUCAAGAGAGGAAGCUGUUGUGCAAAGGAUAUCUAUAACAGACCAGCACUGGGACUUAUGCCGCAUACACACGAUCAUUUUUCAGCAUGUCCAAAAAA